rnacentral:rRNA from 1 species
UACGAAGGGGACUAGCGUUGUUCGGAAUUACUGGGCGUAAAGCGCACGUAGGCGGAUUUGUAAGUCAGGGGUGAAAUCCCGGGGCUCAACCUCGGAACUGCCUUUGAUACUGCAAAUCUCGAGUCCGGAAGAGGUGAGUGGAAUUCCUAGUGUAGAGGUGAAAUUCGUAGAUAUUAGGAAGAACACCAGUGGCGAAGGCGGCUCACUGGUCCGGUACUGACGCUGAGGUGCGAAAGCCAGGGGAGCAAACGGG